UUGGAGGAGCGACUUCUGGAAUGCUUGGCACCGUCCCAAGUUCCGUGGAACCGGACGUCACAGAGGGUGAGAAUCCCGUGCAUGGGCGGUAGCCAGCUUUCCUACCGAAUCGUUUCCGACGAGUCGAGUUGUUUGGGAAUGCAGCUCAAAAUGGGUGGUAAAUUUCAUCUAAAGCUAAAUACUGGCGAGAGACCGAUAGCGCACAAGUAGAGUGAUCGAAAGAUGAAAAGCACUUUGAAAAGAGAGUUAAAAAGUACGUGAAAUUGUUGAAAGGGAAGCGCUUGAGAUCAAACUCGGACUUUGGUGAAGCUGCGAGCAUUCUGUCUGCUUGUAGCCGCUUGCCAUGGACUGGGCCAGCAUCGGUUCCGACGGUGGGAUAAAUCGCUUUGGAAUGUAGCUCUUUCUUUCGAAGGAGUGCUUAUAGACUCAGCAAAAAUACCACCAGACGGGACCGAGGACCGCGCCUUUCAAACGGCUAGGAUGCUGGCGUAAUGGUCUUAAGCGACCCGUCUUGAAACACGGACCAAGGAGUCUAACAUCUAUGCGAGUGUUCGGGUGGAAAACCCUUGCGCGUAAUGAAAGUGAACGGAGGUGGGAUUC
rnacentral:rRNA from 1 species